UUCUGGGCCAAGAUGGCAGCAAUGAGGAAGGCGCUUCCGCGGCGACUGGUGGGCUUGGCGUCCCUCCGGGCUGUCAGCACCUCAUCUAUGGGCACUUUACCAAAGCGGGUGAAAAUUGUGGAAGUUGGUCCCCGAGAUGGACUACAAAAUGAAAAGAAUAUCGUAUCUACUCCAGUGAAAAUCAAGCUGGUAGACAUGCUUUCUGAAGCAGGACUCUCUGUUAUAGAAACCACCAGCUUUGUGUCUCCUAAGUGGGUUCCCCAGAUGGGUGACCACACUGAAGUCUUGAAGGGCAUUCAGAAGUUUCCUGGCAUCAACUACCCAGUCCUGACCCCAAAUUUGAAAGGCUUCGAGGCAGCGGAAGUGCCUCUGGCUGCCCUGGCUGUCCACUGCCAUGACACCUAUGGCCAAGCCCUGGCCAACACCUUGAUGGCCCUGCAGAUGGGAGUGAGUGUCGUGGACUCUUCUGUGGCAGGACUUGGAGGCUGUCCCUACGCACAGGGGGCAUCAGGAAACUUGGCCACGGAAGACCUGGUCUACAUGCUAGAGGGCUUGGGCAUUCACACGGUAAGCCUACCCACCCCCUGGUGGCGACAGCCCCGAACUGACCAGGGGGCCUGAAGCUGAGAACAAAAGUGGAUGGGGGUAUUUGGGGUUGUUAAGGUGCUGAGGAGUAAAGAGGGAAAGGGUUAGCCAGGCGCAGUGGCUCAUGCCUGUAAUCUCAGCACUUUGGGAGGCUGAGGCAGGAGGGUCACUUGAGCCCAGGAGUUCAGGCUGCAGUGAGCUAUGAUCCUGCCAGUGUACUCCAGCCUGGGUGAAACAGCAAGACCCUAUCUCUUCAAAACAAAACAAAAGAGGGGAAGGGUGUUGGGGAUUAUGGAUAUUUGAUCUAAUAUUUUAAUGUUUGUGAGAGUAGGGUUGAGUGAGGCCACACGCAUGGGCACAAGAAGGCUGGAGUGUCAGGGUGACUUUGACAGUUCAGUCCUAGGAGACACCAGGAACAUGGAAGGGGCCCUGGGAAGGGUCAGGUUCAUGACCUGAAAUGAGUCAGUUCUCUCUUGGCUUUGUUUUGUUCUCUGUAAAAUGAGGACAGUAGCGUUAGACAGCUCACCAGGGAUCCGCCAGAGUCCACCAGGGCCCUCAGUGGCGGGACGGAAGCAGAAUAGCAUCUGUGCUUAAAGAUCAGAUGGAACUGGGUUUAAAGCCUACUCCUGCCACUCCCAGGCUAUGAGACCUCAGACAAAUUAUUUCAUCUCUCCGAACCUAAGAAAUGGGAAUAAUAAUGCCAUCCAUCUCAUGGAGCCAUUGUGAGGAUUAAGUAAGAAAACGUAUGUAGAGGGCCAGGCGCACACCUGUAAUCCCAGCACUUUGGGAAGCC
rnacentral:sRNA from 1 species